rnacentral:rRNA from 1 species
UUUGGAAUUUUGGACAAUGGGCGAAAGCCUGAUCCAGCGACGCCGCGUGGACGAUGACGGCCUUCGGGUUGUAAAGUCCUUUUGGCAGGGAAGAAUUUUUUGACGGUACCUGCAGAAUAAGAGGUUGCUAACUCUGUGCCAGCAGCAGCGGUAAUACAGAGACCUCGAGCGUUAUCCGGAAUCAUUGGGCGUAAAGCGUACCGAUCGGUGGUUUUGCAAGUCAGAGGUGAAAUUCCAAGGCUCAACCUUGGGACUGUCCUUUGAAACUGCAACACUAGAGGGACAAAGAGGAAGCUAGAACUAACGGUGUAGGGGUAAUAUCCGUUGAUAUCGUUAGGAAUACCGAUAGCGAAGGCAGGCUUCUGGGUGUCACCUGACACUGCUAGGACGAAAGCGUGGGGAGCAAAAAGG